GUGCAGCACUUUUCCUUUCCAGAAGUAGACCUCUGGCCAAUUUGGCAUUUUAGAAAUAACAAAGUUUAAAUCUUCUAUGGCUGUUUUAUACUCUUGGAGGCCAGCGUAUGACUCAGCUCUGUAGAUUCUUAGCAUCAAGUUACUGGAAUCUGUCCGCAGCGCCUGUCCGGCGGCGCCCAGCGCCUCUCGGAAGCGGCCCUGCGCCAGCAGCUCCUCCAGCCGCCCGCCGGUCCGCGCCCGCUCGCACUCUCUCGGGAACCACUUCUCGGCCAGCUGGCUGAGCACCACGCUGGUG
rnacentral:lncRNA from 1 species